GAGUUUGAUCGUGGCUCAGAUUGAACGCUGGCGGCAUGCCUUACACAUGCAAGUCGAACGGCAGCAUGAUCUAGCUUGCUAGAUUGAUGGCGAGUGGCGAACGGGUGAGUAAUACAUCGGAACGUGCCCUGUAGUGGGGAUAACUAGUCGAAAGAUUAGCUAAUACCGCAUACGACCUGAGGGUGAAAGUGGGGGACCGCAAGGCCUCAUGCUAUAGGAGCGGCCGAUGUCUGAUUAGCUAGUUGGUGGGGUAAAGGCCCGACCAAGGCGACGAUCAGUAGCUGGUCUGAGAGGACGAUCAGCCACACUGGGACUGAGACACGGCCCAGACUCCUACGGGAGGCAGCAGUGGGAAUUUUGGACAAUGGGCGAAAGCCUGAUCCAGCAAUGCCG
rnacentral:rRNA from 1 species